rnacentral:misc_RNA from 1 species
GAUGAAGAACGUAGCGAAAUGCGAUACGUAAUGUGAAUUGCAGAAUUCAGUGAAUCAUCGAAUCUUUGAACGCAUAUUGCGCUCUCUGGUAUUCCGGAGAGCAUGCUUGUUUGAGUAUCAGUAAACACCUCAACUCCCUUUCUUCUUGAAAUGGAGCUGGACUUGAGUGAUCCCAACGCUUUAUUCAUAAAGUGGCGGGUUACUUGAAAUGCAGGUGCAGCUGGACUUUUCUCUGAGCUAUAAGCAUAUCUAUUUAGUCUGCCUCAAAACAGAUUAUUACCUUUGCUGCAGCUAACAUAAAGGAGAUUAGUUCUUGUGCUGACUGAUGCAGGGUUCACAAAGACCGCUUCGGCUGUCUUUGUAAACUCGUUCUCAAAUCAAGUAAGACUACCCGCUGAACUUAAGCAUAUCAAUAAGCGGAGGA